UAUGGAUCAGUGGCUAAGAUGAGCGAGCGCGUGGGGGUGCUAGGUCAGGACACGACAACACCCCCGCGCGCUCGCUCAUCUUAGCCACUGAUCUAUAUA